rnacentral:lncRNA from 1 species
GGCAAACAGAAGAUCGGCGUUCGAACAGACAGCAGCAAGAGCUUUGAAAUAACCUGGUUCAUGGAAAGGUUUCAAAGGAGGAAAAUCUAUGUGUGCAGAGAAUAUGCUGAAAUUGUUGUGGUGCCGACAGUCUGAAUAGCCCAGGGAAGGAAAUGAAAUUUAUGAAUCAUUGAAUGUCCCAGCUCCAGCCCAGAUAAAAGGAGGCCUGGUAAAGGAGAUUUUGUGGAGCUCAGCACCGGCAGAUCCCAUAGCAGGACUGAUACAUUUACUGAGGCGAUUGGAUUAUCACUGGAAGAGAUACUGGCCAGUGUUGGGUGCUUCUGAAAGCAGGGCUGACUGCAUCAAAGC